AUCGGCCAUUCGGGAGAGAGUCCGGAUUACCGGAAUAUGGGAGCAGCUGGGAUCCGGGUCGCCGAAGGUGCAAACUGCGAAACAGAUAAUUGUGGCCAGUGAAUCUCUCAGGCAAAAGGACCGGAUGGCUAGG
rnacentral:ncRNA from 2 species